CCAUUAGCAUACAUCACCCUCAGGGUACCAUUAUUACAGAGUUGGUAGCUGUUCCGCACUUGAUCUGGAAAAAUGUUGCUGGUAUAGCCACAGGUCAGAUCCACUGCAAAUCAAAGCCCAGGAUUUUCCAAGAAAAUCAAGAGAAGAAUCAACCUUCCCCAUCCUCAUGCUUUAACAGCUGACUGUGCCUGAUACCACCUUCACUCAAGAGAACUCUGAAGAGACUCACAUACAGGAGGGAGAUGGAGCCAGUGGAUGCUGAUAAUGUGUUUAUCUUCCCCAAUGGAAGCUACACGAGUCAAUCAGACUUCUGACCUUUUCCUUUAUCGAAAAGUUACAGGAAGGAAAUGUGAGUCAGAGACUCCUUUUACAGAUACACUGCUUCCUGAUUGUCUGGACAAAGGAGUGGCCUGGGCUGGCCUCUGGGAUGUCAGCUUUUGGGGCAGUGAGCAAGUGUGUACCUGUCGCUCCUGUGACUCCAGCCAUCACACAGGACAGAAUCUACAUCAUUAAUCAUUUGGCAGAGCAGAAAUAGAGUCAUUGAAACAGGCUCCGCUGUGGGAUAAUAGUCCAGAAAUGUCACCAUUUAUCUACUGAGAGGACACUUUUAUCCUCUGACAACACGCUAGCCCACCGACAUUAUAUCUUAAUUAAAAGAAAAAUUAAUAGG